rnacentral:rRNA from 1 species
CGGCGAGCGAAGAAGGAACAGCCCCGAGUGUAAUCACAAAUAUGUGAGAUGUCAUUAAUCUAUAGAACGAUGUUGAAACUUCGGCCUGAGAGGGUGAUAGCCCCGUAAAAUAGAUGUAACAAGGGAGUAGCAGUGUUUGGUAUUGCACUGUGAACGGGUGGCAGCGCCCAUCCAAGACUAAAUACAAAGCGAGACCGAUAGUGAAAAAGUAGAGCGAUCGAAAAACGAAUAGACUGAAAAAGUGAAAUUGCGUAGGGAGCCUAGAGGCUAGGCC